rnacentral:rRNA from 1 species
GACGAACCGUGCGAACGUUGUUCGGAAUCACUGGGCUUAAAGGGCGCGUAGGCGGGCCGGACGGUCCGGGGUGAAAUCCCCCCGCUCAACGGGGGAACGGCCUCGGACACCGCCGGCCUCGAGGGGGGUAGGGGCGCGCGGAACGCGUGGGUGGAGCGGUGAAAUGCGUUGAUAUCCAGCGGAACUCCGGUGGCGAAGGCGGCGCGCUGGACCCCUUCUGACGCUGAGGCGCGAAAGCCAGGGGAGCGAA